GUGGAAAUAACAUGGAAUCUACGCUGGUCAGACCGCGUCCAGAAUAUAGGAGAGUUUUGGGCAUUUGUCUACAAAUUGUGCGCCCAAUGAAUUACACUAAUUAUAAAAUAUACCUUUAAAACCACGACGGAUUCUGUUUCAUAACGCCACCGUCAAAUCCGGUAUCAAUUACGAAUGACUUUCAAUCGGGCGUAUAUCGUUCGACCAACAUCAAUAUUACAGGCAUUAAUGUCGACAUUCAUCAUAAGAGUACACAAACAGUGUCGGAACGGGAUGAAGAAAACACGCAUCCCGCCCAAGGAGUUGCGGCUCGCUCACAAAAGCGCAGAGCAUUCAUCUUCUGUCGUGUAUGUCAUGAACCGCGACACGAUGGCCGCUCUUUCCUUUCUCUCUUCUCUCUCUUCUUUGCAAUCAUAUCUUUGCAAAGAUAAAAAUGAAUUUACACGACGUUCUUAUUGUAAAAAUUAAUUUCUUGCAGUUUGCUUUGCGCAUUGAUCCUCCAACAAUUGUUUCAAUUUACUUACUGAUAAUUAUCUCUGUUAUUUCAAAGUGUCAAUACAAUACAACACAAAAAAGCCGUUAAAAUUGCACUAGAUUAUAUUGUAUAAUCCGGAUACCAUAUCUCAUUACAAUUUUGCAUUCUUUGUUUUAAACGGUUUAUUUUAGGAAUUUUGUGGUGAGAACAUUAUGUUCAGAUCUAACGGCGACGAUACAACGGAAGUGGGAGGCAAGUGCAAACAGACCCACGCCUCGUUGUUUGGUAUUUGCAUCACUUGCGGAAACCAGACUGCGUCGAUCGCGCGCUGUCGAAUAAAUGAAUUUAGAUCCGUAUGCUUGCCGAGUGCAGUUUCCAUUGCUAGGUCAGACCUGAAUUCGCUUAGCAACGCGCGCGCAGUUCAUAUUUCGGCCAGCGCCGUCGUUGCGAAUAACAAACAAUCGUUUGGCAUCAAUUCUCGUCCUAUUUUCUACACUUUUAGCCACUACGCAUUAGGUAUUAACAAGUUUCCAUUAAGCGUUUUGCAUAUUAUAUAUUUCUAUUACAAUUUCAUUUAUCUGUU